ensembl:lncRNA
AUCAUGGGUCAGUAUGGAGAAUUCAUAUAUACCCGAGAACCCAGAAGGAAGCUCCCUGGCCACCAUCCCAAGCUCCUAGGGCAGAGAAGGUGAGCCGCACGGGUGCCAGAAGCACCGCCCGCCCCCGUGGAAAUGAGAAGACACGUAAACAAGCCUCAAAAACAGACUUCUGGAUCACCUACAACCAUAUUUGAGAUAAUGGAGAUUUUGAAGAUUAAGCCUGUAUAAAUGGAGAGGCUCCCAUAAAACUCCAGGCCCCAGGAUCUUAGUCUCAGCCUGAUCUACAUUCAGCUUCCAGUUGUUCAUCCAAAUUAUUGCUCUCCUACCAGCUUAUGGCUCCAGUGGCUUCUGUUCCAG